GACGAACGCUGGCGGCGUGCUUAACACAUGCAAGUCGAACGGAAAGGCCCUGCUUUUGUGGGGUGCUCGAGUGGCGAACGGGUGAGUAACACGUGAGUAACCUGCCCUUGACUUUGGGAUAACUUCAGGAAACUGGGGCUAAUACCGGAUAGGAGCUCCUGCUGCAUGGUGGGGGUUGGAAAGUUUCGGCGGUUGGGGAUGGACUCGCGGCUUAUCAGCUUGUUGGUGGGGUAGUGGCUUACCAAGGCUUUGACGGGUAGCCGGCCUGAGAGGGUGACCGGCCACAUUGGGACUGAGAUAAGGCCGAGACUCCUACGGGAGGCAGCAGGGGGGAAUAUUGCACAAUGGGCGGAAGCCUGAUGCAGCAACGCCGCGUGCGGGAUGACGGCCUUCGGGUUGUAAACCGCUUUCGCCUGUGACGAAGCGUGAGUGACGGUAAUGGGUAAAGAAGCCCCGGCUAACUACGUG
rnacentral:rRNA from 1 species